AGAACAGACGCACACUUCCUGUGCUCGCUCGAGUCGUUGAUAAACAGCGAGCACAUGCUGAGCACAAUUUUUGUCGUUUUGUCUCAUAACAAAAUGACAACAACUUUGAUUUAAAUAAUAAUUUAGUAUCUUGAAAUUUUGCAGUUGUCAUGCCUCUGCUAUUACACGCUGCACAAUGAAAGACUUUACUACUCAGGGCAUUGAUGGAUUUUGUAACAGAGUUUACCACAGCCAUGUCAUGUGUGAUUUUGUCAGUGUCAUCAUUGCAUGCUGCUUAUCGGCUAUUCAAGGACCACAGAGCCUCAUCAGUGGGCUUCCUCCUGAUUGGCCUUUCCUCUGUCCUUUCAGUCUUUUCUCCCAAUAACCAAACUAUCAAAUCACUCACGAACAAUCUAGAAUGGGCAGGUGAAUCACUUGGUCCUGUUCUUGUUACUUUUGACUUCUUGUGGCUAAGUGAGGACCACAUCACUGCUAGUAUCCUCCUGAUUGGCUCUACUUUUUUCAUAAUGCUCUCUGAUUGGUUAUCAUCAGAUGGGUUGGUCUUUAUGUCACGCUGCCUGGCAUUUUCCACCCUCUCCUGUUCGCUGACAGUGUGUGCGUUUGCUGAAAAUGCAGCAGGGGCAGUAGGGAGUGUUGCUCUCAGUCUGCCUUUAUUAGUUUCCCCAAGGACCAGAUCUGGGUCUUUGGGUUCCCUAGUGAUGCCUACAGAAGGACUUCUCAGCUGGAUCCUUAAAGUCAUCAUGGCAGUAGGAUGUUGGACCACUGGGAAGGCCCUUAAUAAAUACCUGUUUGAUUUAAAAGGCUGGGACUGACUAAAGCAAUGGUUUCUAAAGACAACAGAGAGCCACAAAAUGCUACUUUUGUACUCAGAUUAUUAUCAGUAUAGUGUUACUGUUGCAUAUAAAGGCCUUUUCUGUCUUGAUAAGCUAACAUUAUAUUAUAAUGUACUACAGAAA